AGGUUAAGUUAACAAGGGCGCAUGGUGAAUGCCUUGGCACUAGGAGCCGAUGAAGGACGGGACUAACACCGAUAUGCUUCGGGGAGCUGUACGUAAGCUAUGAUCCGGAGAUUUCCGAAUGGGGCAACCCAGCAGUUUUAAUCAACUGUUACCACUAGAUGAAUUCAUAGUCUAGUUGGAGGUAAACGCUGUGAACUGAAACAUCUCAUUAGCAGCAGGAAUAUAAAGAAAUUUCGAUUCCCUAAGUAGCGGCGAGCGAACGGGGAACAGCCCAAACCAAAGUGCUUGCACUUUGGGGUUGUAGGACUGAACAUUUGAGUUACCAAAGAACUUGAUAGUCGAAGGAUUUGGGAAAAUCCGCCAUAGAUGGUGAUAGCCCAGUAGAUUAAAUCAAAUUCUCUCAGUUCAGGAUCCUGAGUACGGCGGAACACGUGAAAUUCCGUCGGAAUCCGGGAGGACCAUCUCCCAAGGCUAAAUACUACCUAGUGACCGAUAGUGAACCAGUACCGUGAGGGAAAGGUGAAAAGCACCCCGGGAGGGGAGUGAAAUAGUUCCUGAAACCAUGUGCCUACAAUAAGUCAGAGCGCGUUAAUGCGUGAUGGCGUGCCUUUUGUAGAAUGAACCGGCGAGUUAUGAUCCCGUGCAAGGUUAAGACUAAAAAGUCGGAGCCGUAGCGAAAGCGAGUCUGAAAUGGGCGUUUUGAGUACGAGGUUAUAGACCCGAAACCAGGUGACCUAUCCAUGUCCAGGUUGAAGGUGCGGUAAAACGCACUGGAGGACCGAACCCGUGUAAGUUGAAAAUUGCUGGGAUGAGGUGUGGAUAGCGGUGAAAUUCCAAACGAACUUGGAGAUAGCUGGUUCUCUCCGAAAUAGCUUUAGGGCUAGCCUCGGAAUUAGGAUCAUGGAGGUAGAGCACUAUUUGGACUAGGGGCCCGUCUUGGGUUACUGAAUUCAGAUAAACUCCGAAUGCCAUUGAUUCAUAUCCGGGAGUCAGACGAUGAGUGAUAAGAUCCACCGUCGAAAGGGGAACAGCCCAGACCAUCAGUUAAGGUCCCUAAAUGUAUGCUAAGUGGAAAAGGAUGUGGAGUUGCAUAGACAACUAGGAUGUUGGCUCAGAAGCAGCCACCAUUUAAAGAGUGCGUAAUAGCUCACUAGUCGAGUGAUCCUGCGCCGAAAAUGUACCGGGGCUAAGCAUACUACCGAAACCAUGGAUGCGACCAUUAGGUCGCGUGAUAGGAGAGCGUUCUAAGGGCGGUGAAGCAAGAUCGUGAGGACUUGUGGAGCGCUUAGAAGUGAGAAUGCCGGUAUGAGUAGCGAAAGAUAGGUGAGAAUCCUAUCCACCGAAUGACUAAGGUUUCCUGGGGAAGGCUCGUCCUCCCAGGGUUAGUCGGGACCUAAGUCGAGGCCGAGAGGCGUAGACGAUGGAUAACAGGUUGAGAUUCCUGUACUAGUUAAGUGCGUUUGAGCAAUGGAGGGACGCAGGAGGCUAAGAUGUGCAUUCUGUUGGAUUAGAAUGUCCAAGCAGUAAGUCUUGUGAAGAGUCAAAUGCUUUUCACUUUAAGGACAAGCUGUGAUGGGGAGCGAAAUUUAGUAGCGAAGCGUCUGAUGUCACACUGCCGAGAAAAGCUUCUAGUGAGUACUUAACUACCCGUACCGCAAACCGACACAGGUAGUCGAGGAGAGAAUCCUAAGGUGAGCGAGUGAACUCUCGUUAAGGAACUCGGCAAAAUGACCCCGUAACUUCGGGAGAAGGGGUGCUGAUCGCAAGAUCAGCCGCAGUGAAUAGGCCCAGGCGACUGUUUAUCAAAAACACAGGUCUCUGCAAAAUCGUAAGAUGACGUAUAGGGGCUGACGCCUGCCCGGUGCUGGAAGGUUAAAAGGAUGGGUUAGCUUCGGCGAAGCUCAGAAUUGAAGCCCCAGUAAACGGCGGCCGUAACUAUAACGGUCCUAAGGUAGCGAAAUUCCUUGUCGGGUAAGUUCCGACCCGCACGAAAGGCGUAACGAUCUGGGCACUGUCUCAACGAGAGACUCGGUGAAAUUAUAUUGUCCGUGAAGAUGCGGACUACCCGCGACAGGACGGAAAGACCCCAUGGAGCUUUACUGUAGCUUGAUAUUGAGUGUUUGUACAGCUUGUACAGGAUAGGUAGGAGCCAUAGAAACCGGAACGCUAGUUUCGGUGGAGGCGUUGGUGGGAUACUACCCUCGCUGUAUGACCACUCUAACCCGCACCACUAAUCGUGGUGGGAGACAGUGUCAGGUGGGCAGUUUGACUGGGGCGGUCGCCUCCUAAAAAGUAACGGAGGCGCCCAAAGGUUCCCUCAGAAUGGUUGGAAAUCAUUCGCAGAGUGUAAAGGCACAAGGGAGCUUGACUGCGAGACAGACAGGUCGAGCAGGGACGAAAGUCGGGCUUAGUGAUCCGGUGGUACCGUAUGGAAGGGCCAUCGCUCAACGGAUAAAAGCUACCCUGGGGAUAACAGGCUUAUCUCCCCAAGAGUCCACAUCGACGGGGAGGUUUGGCACCUCGAUGUCGGCUCAUCGCAUCCUGGGGCUGUAGUCGGUCCCAAGGGUUGGGCUGUUCGCCCAUUAAAGCGGUACGCGAGCUGGGUUCAGAACGUCGUGAGACAGUUCGGUCCCUAUCCGUCGCGGGCGUAGGAAAUUUGAGAGGACCUGUCCUUAGUACGAGAGGACCGGGAUGGACAUACCUCUGGUGUACCAGUUGUGCCGCCAGGCGCAUCGCUGGGUAGCUACGUAUGGAUGUGAUAAACGCUGAAAGCAUCUAAGUGUGAAACACACCUCGAGAUGAGAUUUCCCAUUCCUUUAUGGAAGUAAGACCCCUGAAAGAUGAUCAGGUAGAUAGGUUAGAAGUGGCAGUGCGGUGACGCAUGAAGCGGACUAAUACUAAUCGGUCGAGGACUUAACCAAG
rnacentral:rRNA from 2 species